GCCAAAUCUAGCCCAAACAACAACAAAUUCAACUAACACAAUCACAUAAAUCAAAACAUUUAGUCAACUCAUAAAAGUAUAGGAGAUAGAAAUUUAACUUGGCGCUAUAGAGACAGUACCGUAAGGGAAAGAUGAAAGAAAACCUUCAAAGCACCACAUAGCAAAGAUUACCCCUUGUACCUUUUGCAUAAUGGAUUAGCUAGACAUAGUCUAACAAAGAGAACUUAAGCUAGACCCCCCCGAAACCAGACGAGCUACCUAUGAACAAUCUAUUACAGGAUGAACUCGUCUAUGUAGCAAAAUAGUGAGAAGAUUCAUAGGUAGAGGUGAAAAGCCUAACGAGCCUGGUGAUAGCUGGUUGCCCAGAAAAAGAAUUUUAGUUCAACUUUAAGCUUACCUGAAAAAACCCAGAAUUCAAAUGUAAGCUUAAAAUAUAGUCUAAAAAGGUACAGCUUUUUAGAACUAGGAUACAACCUUAAUUGGAGAGCAAGCAUUUUACACCAACCAUAGUUGGCCUAAGAGCAGCCAUCAAUUGAGAAAGCGUUCAAGCUCAACAACAAGACACACACUUAAUGUCAAAAAUAUGCAACCAACUCCCAACUUAAUACUGGGCCAAUCUAUUUAACAAUAGAAGCAACAAUGCUAGUAUGAGUAACAAGAAAUAUUUCUCCCUGCACAAGCCUAUAUCAGAACGGAUAACCACUGAUAGUUAACAACAAGAUAAAAACAAUCCAAACAUAAACCAAAUAUCAACCCAACUGUUAACCCAACACAGGUGUGCAAUUAAGGAAAGAUUAAAAGAAGUAAAAGGAACUCGGCAAACACAAGCCCCGCCUGUUUACCAAAAACAUCACCUCUAGCAUUUCUAGUAUUAGAGGCACUGCCUGCCCAGUGACAUUAGUUAAACGGCCGCGGUAUCCUGACCGUGCAAAGGUAGCAUAAUCAUUUGUUCCCUAAAUAGGGACUUGUAUGAAUGGCCACACGAGGGCUUAACUGUCUCUUACUUCCAAUCCGUGAAAUUGACCUUCCCGUGAAGAGGCGGGAAUAGAACAAUAAGACGAGAAGACCCUAUGGAGCUUCAAUUAACUGACCCAAAGAGAUAAAAACCUAACCAACAGGUAUAACAAGUCCCCACAUGGGCCAGCAAUUUAGGUUGGGGUGACCUCGGAGAACAAAAUAACCUCCGAGCGAUUUUAAAUCUAGACCUACCGGUCAAAAGUAUUACAUCACUUAUUGAUCCAAAACAUUUGAUCAACGGAACAAGUUACCCUAGGGAUAACAGCGCAAUCCUAUUCUAGAGCCCUUAUCGACAAUAGGGUUUACGACCUCGAUGUUGGAUCAGGACAUCCCGAUGGUGCAGCAGCUAUCAAGGGUUCGUUUGUUCAACGAUUAAAGUCCUACGUGAUCUGAGUUCAGACCGGAGCAAUCCAGGUCGGUUUCUAUCUAUUAGACAAUUCCUCCCAGUACGAAAGGACAAGAGAAAUAAGGCCCACUUCACAAAAGCGCCUUCAGUAAAAUAGAUGAUAUAAUCUCAAUCUAAACAACUCACCCACCACAUACUUUUAGCCCAAGAGCCAGGGCUU
rnacentral:rRNA from 1 species